ensembl:lncRNA
UUCUGUUUGUUGAAGCUUUUUUGGUCUUGCCUAAGUAUGUGUUUGAGAAUGGUAGUGUCUCCCACAGAAAGUUGUCAGUAAAGACCAAAUAUUCCCACUUUACUGGCCAGGUGAGAACUGGAUUAGAGACUGGGACUUGCUUCAUGUUACAGAAGAAAUUUGCAGCUCCAGUGCCUUAACUCAUCCUGCCCUUACUUAAGUCUAAUUCUUAACUCCAGUUCCAUCAGGCUUUGUAGUUUAAUUCUUUCCAGAAUGAGUUUAAUUAUCAGCUGGUUUUGUUGUAGUCACGCCUGCAAUGGCUUUUAUUUAAGGCCAGUGGUAGAUAACUGAAACAUUUUGCUACAAUUGACUUUGUCUCUUAGAAAACCUUUUCAGACUUUGUACACUGAGAAAAGUCAUCCCCUGCCUCAUGAUUUUCUCUUGGCAGGUCACAUUUAACAUGAGUAUGCAUGUUCCAGUUCUCCGAUUGAAAUCUCACCCCUUCAUGUUGCAUUAAUGUAUUUGUUUAGCUUAAUAUGCAGCAUCUCUAAUUUAUUUUACCACUGAUGUUGAAUGUUUUUGCAGGUUUCUUGUCUCUUUUCAAAGCCGUCGUUGCGGAGGGGCUGAGCUGAUGUGAAUUUUUUGUCACUGCAUAUCAAAGUGGUGAUGUCUCCUUAUCAGAGCGCAGAUCAUCUGAUGGUCACAGAAACUGAUGGAGAACGGGUUAAUGCCUCGUCCAUCAGCGGCAGACAGGAUGUAUGAGGCUGUUUCUUCCCUUGGAAGAUGCACAGACCCUACAGAACAGGAUGGAAAGGCAAAGAAGGCAUCAGGGGAUGGCCUUUGACAGCGAGCUGGGAAGGGAGCUCCAGCACCGCCUCAUUGCAAACAGGAGCUGGCCUGGCACAGCACUGGAAUCCAUGCUCCUCUCUGAGCCUGCAGACAUGAAGGUGUCCCACAUCCAGGGCAGUGGAAGUCUCGGUGCUUUUAGCAGGUUGAUCCCACAUGAGCCAUCCAUCAUCCACAGAGCAUCCGUGGCCGAAUCAACAAGUGAAUCCAAAUCAUGCAGCUUCCUCCCUAUUAGAAGGUAAUUGGUGGCAUCCUGGCCUCUCAGGCACCAGACGGUUCCUCAUAAAACAUUCAGAUUGGAGUUAUCCAAAGAGGAAAAUGAGGAGGGAGGGAUUUUUCCACCUGAUGGACGUGGCAUGUAAUUAUGGCAGGCAUAUCCCGAUGCUUUGUCUGUGCUGCUCGCUGCGGCUAUGCCGAAGAAUUCCUUGAUAUUCAAGAAGUGCCCUGACCAAGUCAGGUUUCCAUAAUAUGAUUACAUUAUGAAAUUCUAUUUCACGCCUGCAUAUUAUAGCGUGCACAGCAGCACUUUCAUCACGCAUCAGAGCGUGGUUUGCUCCGCUCUGAUACCACUCACCAGAGGAUGUCUACAAAUGGAAUUAUUUCAGGAUAGUUAUCCUAAAUAACUCCGUGUAGGGAAACCUGUAUUGUAGCACAAAAGCACCUUGCUCUCCUUUAUCGUAAUCCAUUUUACAUGUGGAUUAUGCUGAUGCAGAACAGGGCACUCCUAUUUUGGAAUAGUUUUAAAUAGGAAUAGGUUUUGUGCUCUUGGCUCACACCCUGCAUUAUCCAAAACAGCUUUGAAGUGUAAACAAGCCUCUAAUGUGCCUCUAUUUCCAUUCUGCUCCCUGGCUCCUCCUUGUUCCCUGGUUCUUCCUUUGGGAAGAUCCAAAGCAAAACCAGACCUGCAGAGCCUGUCAUUUAGGUCUUUGCUUUCCCAAACUUCAUACCAAGGGACAUCACCAAUCUGAUUCCCAACUUAAAUGCAUCCCCAAGCUUCUGAAGGGAGAAUUGAGAUGCAGGUUUCUGACUCUGUGCCAUCCCCACAAAUUAAACCAGUACCUGUUUCCUUUCACACUUUUCUAACCUCCUGUGGGACAGUUUGGGUUUUUUCUGUUAUCACCAGCCUAUUCUGCAGCCUGCAGAGAAAACUGAGGGCUACGACUCUGAGAAAGGUCCAAAGCUUCAAGGCCAGGUUGGACACAGGGGCUUGGAGCAGCUGCUCCAGUGGAAGGGGUCCCUGCCUGUGGCAGUGGUUGGAGCUGGAUGAGCUCUGAGGUCCCUUAACCCAAACCAUUUGAUGAUUCUCUGCAACAGAGCAGC